UGCGCAUGUAGCUCAGCCCGGAAGAGCAAUGGUCUACGAAGCCAUGUGUCGGAGGUUCAAAUCCUUCCUUGCGCGU
rnacentral:tRNA from 1 species